GGUUACCGUGGGCCAUGAGUCGGGUGAAGACAGAGGGGGUAAGGUUUAAUUGGAGUUGCUUGGCGGAAAGGGGGAGUAGGGUGUUCAUUAAGUCGGUUGUGAAAUCCCUGGGCUGAACCUGGGAACUGCAGUCGAUACUGGGGAACUAGAGUGCGGUAGAGGGGGGCGGAACUCCGGGUGUAGCGGUGAAAUGCGUAGAUAUCCGGAAGAACACCGAUGGCGAAGGCAACCACCUGGGCCUGCACUGACGCUGAGGUACGAAAGCGUGGGGAGCAAACAGGAUUAGAUACCCUUGUAGUC
rnacentral:rRNA from 1 species